rnacentral:tRNA from 1 species
GGAGGUGCUGUAGCACAGUGGUAGAGCAUCUGCUUUGCAUGCCAAAGGUCCCAGGUUCAAUCCCCAGCAUCUCCA